rnacentral:rRNA from 1 species
ACGCUCGACACCUACGGAAGGCAGCAGUGGGGAAUAUUGCACAAUGGGGGAAACCCUGAUGCAGCGACGCCGCGUGAGCGAAGAAGUAUUUCGGUAUGUAAAGCUCUAUCAGCAGGGAAGAAAGUGACGGUACCUGACUAAGAAGCCCCGGCUAACUACGUGCCCGCAGCCGCGGUAAUCUGAGCGGGCUGGCAAGGC